GGGUUUCUGAUUUGAUUCGACUCUUUUCACUAACCCAAGUCUUUUACUCUCGAACAGUAAAGUGAACGAAACUUGAACGAGUCAUGUCGUUAAUUUUUACAGCAGGUGGCGUUGUAAAAAAGUCCGCGAUUCUCAAGCAGUAAAUACUGAAGGC